CUGAGGAUGAUUUAAAGUUAUCCCUGUCUGAAAUGGUAUCUUUUGUGAGGAGGUCUGACUUGCUGAGGCUCAGCUGUUUAAUACAAAUCUGGAGAAUAAACCUUAAGGUGGUUUCUGUUAGAAUGAAGCCUGUUAUCCUUCUCUUUUAGAUUAAAGGUGGUGGCUGUGGCCUUGAAAACAGUCAUGUGAAAACUCAUCACCUUAAGGUGUUAAGUGUAAGGAUCUUCAUGAUGAAAUUUCUGUAAAUGGUGAGAUUUUUAGUACUUUCAUAGACUUGAAUAUGCUUAUGGUCCUCUUUAAGUAUUGGUUUGUUAGUUUUGGGGAUGUGUUGGUCUUCCAGGGUUACGAUUGCCCAGAUAAUGGAAGUAGUAUGGAAUUCCUUUUGAUAGGGUCCUUGCCAAGCACUCUCAUAAAGAGCAUUUUUUGUUUGUUUGUUUUGAGACAGAGUUUUGCUCUUGUUGCCCAGGCUGGAGUGCGAUGGUGCGAUCUUGGCUCAGCGCAACCUCUGCCUCCUGGGUUCAAGCUAGUCUCCUGCCUCAGCCUCCCAAGUAGCUGGGAUUACAGGCAUGCACCACCACGCCUAGCUAAUUUUGUGUUUUUAGUAGAGACGGGGUUUCUCCAUGUUGGUCAGGCUGGUCUUGAACUCCCGACUUAAGGUGAUCUGUGCUGGGAUUACAGGCGUGAGCCACCUUGCCUGGCCAUAAAUAGUAUUUCUAAUAUCAACCCCAUAUGAGGCAGAGGUUUGCAGUGAGCUGAGAUGGCACCAUUGUACUCCAGUCUAGGCGACAAGAGCGAAACUCUGUAAAUAAAUAAAUAAAUAAAUAUCCUACAAUGCAUACAACAGCCUGCAUGAGGAAUAAUUGAUCCACCCAGUAUGUCAGUAGAGCUGAGGUUGAGAAACUCCUGUAUACCACACGUUAGGCUAACUAGAGAUCUGAGCUCUAGUCUCAGCCUAUUUUCUCACCAGAGUCUUGUUUCUUCAUUUGUGAAACAGGGUUAGUGAUUUCCAAACUUGAUUAUUACAUCAGAGCCACCUACAAAGUGUUAAAAUAUACACAUUCCUGGGCCUCACCUCCAGGCAUGGGUGAGAAUGGCUCUGGAGUGGAGUCCAGGAAUCAUGUGGCCAGUCCAAGAGCAAGUGGGUAGUAACUAGAUCAGGGGUGUCAAUCUUUUGGCUUCCCUGUGCCACAUUGGAAGAAUUGUCUUGGGUCACACAUAAAAUAAACUAACACUAAUGAUAGCUGAUGAGCUAAAAAAAAAAAAUCUCAUAAUAUUUUGAGAAAGUUUACAAAUUUGUUGGGCUGCAUUCAAAGCCGUCCUAAAGUUUACAAAUUUGUGUUGGGCUGCAUUCAAAGCCGUCCUGAGCCACAUGCAGGCUGUGGGUUAGACAAGCUUGAAGUAGAUGAUCUGAUCUGUUUUUAGUGCAAGGAUUUUAUUAUAGUGAGAUUAUAGUGCUGGCUAUUUUUAAGUAGCUCUUGGGCAAAUCUCUAAUCCUCUGUCUUAAAAAACUGAAAGCCUGGAGGGCACGGUGGCUGACACCUGUAAUCCCAGCACUUGGGGAGGCCGAGGCAGGUGGAUCAUCUGAGGUCGGGAGUUCGAGACCAGCCUGACCAACAUGGAGAAACUCCGUCUCUACUAAAAAUACAAAAUUAGCCUGGCGUGGUGGCGCAUGCUUGUAAUCCCAACUUACUUGGGAGUCUGAGGCAGGAGAAUCACUUGAACCCGGGAGGUGGAGGUUGCAGUGAGCCGAGAUCGCGUCAUUGCACUCCAGCCUGGGCAACAAGAGUGAAACUACUUUUCAAAAAAAGAAAGUCACAUGCUUGCUCCACAAAGAAUUUGCGUGAGGGAAGUGAACAAUUUGAUGAGAAAAAAAUAGUUUGCGUGUGCUGUGGCUGUUAGUGCUAUGGUCCAGCAGGUUGGUGGGAGCUGAGUCCAUGAUGAUUUCAAGUUAUCCCUGUCUGAAGGCAAAGAAAGGCCUUUCUGUGUGGAAUUUGAAUAUCUGAAACUCAGUUUCCCAAGUUUGCCUUACAGAAAUUUUAAGUUACUUGAGAGUUACUCUGUGUGUAUCUUCUUAAGUAGUUUUUUUUCUUAAUUUCUCUUCCCAGGUGCAGUCAGCCUCAGUUUCCAAAGCCGGAAAAGGAUCCUCUAGUAGCCACGGUGUGGCAGCUGCUCUGAACCAGGACCUGGACCCGGACCCAAAGUGCCAUGUCUUUAAUGUGAGUAAGUAGACGAACUGGUAAACAGGCUUGGUUUGGUUUGGGGGAGUGGUAAUCUUUUUUGCUUCCCCUGCUCUGGACUUAAAGCAAUGGGGGCAGGGAGACUUUAGUAGCAUUUUGUUGCUAGGUGUCUGCAAUAAGAGACGAAACUGAACUGCUUUGCCGGAAACAAGUGAAAUGAUUGCUUUCCUGUUUGUAAGAUUUGUUUACAUCUUUCGUAUCCGUAAGAAGUCCCACAAGCCUAUGAUGGUUAGUUAUCCCUGUCUGAAAAUCUGGACUGAGGGAAAUAAUCUAUUCUGAGGCUUAAGGGUUUGGCUCCAUGGUUUUUUUUUUGUUUUUGUUUUUUUUCCCCUUUUUUUUUCCCUCAGCAUAUCCUGCUGAGAGCCCAGUCUAGAGCAUCAUUCCUCUAAAACGUGAAAAGCAAAUGAGUGAUUGUCCUGCUUUCUCUAGUCCUUUGAUUAUGGCUCUGAGGAUACAGGCUGUAUGAGGUGGCAGGAAUGCACAAGUACCCAGGAUUUGAUUUAUGCCCUUAUUGUGGAAUGAAAGUGCUUGUUACAUAUUUCAAGAAAAUGAAUGCGCUCUUAGAAACAGAUUGGAAUGUAGGAUGUAUGCCAGCUUGUGGCAAUGAGAAUGCUUAAUGACUCUGACCUUGCCUCUGCUCCAGGGUCCUGACAUUUAGGGGAAACCACGGCUGUUUGGUUUCUAUGUGCUUUGUUAAGGACGCCAGGGAGGUCUCCUAAGUUUGUAGCUUAGAUCCUGUCUGAAUGUCACGACUGGCAUGUGAGCAAGAAAGAAACCAAGUGGUGCUGGAGAGUGGGGUGCCCAGCUUUGUUCCCACUGGAAUGCCAGGCUUGAAGUGCACACAGAUUGCCUUUCUUUUCUGUUGAAAGGGGAGGUGUGGGCCGGGCGCGGUGGCUCACGCCU
rnacentral:lncRNA from 1 species